rnacentral:lncRNA from 1 species
GAAUUAUUAGGCAAACGAAUAAUGCCUUGUUUAUUAGCAUAUCGUCUUUCUCUUUCAGGCACGUAUUAAAUUUCCGAUUGACUACCUAUAUUCACCACCUACCUUCAGAUUCUUGACCAAAAUGUGGCACCCCAACAUCUAUGAUAAAGGAGAUGUAUGCAUUUCAAUCCUUCAUCUGCCUGUAGAUGACCCACAGAGUGGAGAGCUGCCCUCUGAAAGGUGGAAUCCUCCUCAGAAUGUGAGGUAAGAUGUUCUAUGGAGUGAACUGUGUUGUGUUUUGCUUUCAUUUAUUUGUUGGUUAGUUGGUGGGCUCAUUUUUUGAGACAGGGUUUCUUUCUCUCUGUAGCCCUGUGGCUGUCCUGGAACUCAGAGAUCCCACCUGCCUCUGCCACCUCAGUGCUGGGAUUAAAAGUGUGUUCCACCACUAACCUGGCUAUUUUUUGAGACCAGCCUCAAAUUC